GGUGUAUAAUAAGCACAAGAUAUUAUCCUUCAUUUUUUUUACCUGUCUUCUGUAUACAUAUUUUUACAAUACAAUUUUCUUUGUUGUACUGUUUAACCUUCAAACAUAUUCAUUGGAAUAUACACAGAGAACAAAACAGAUUCGAGUCAUCAACUCGAAUACUUUAUGCUAGAACCAAAAAGAAUGAACAACUCGAUUUCUCUUUACGUGUGAAAAAAAGGAAGCUGAAAACAUUGCUGCUUCAGCGUUGCUUCCACGAGUAGUAUCCUUAAGAGUUGGGAACAAAAGUACCAAUAUGACCAAAUCCGAUGAUGAAGAAGGCGAAUGCUUGAAGGAAGAGGUACAAGAAAUAGUGAUUUUUCCCAAAGGCGACGUCAUAACAUCCACAAAAGAAGAGGUAAGCACCAGUGGCUAGCUCUAACAAAAGUAGUCUGUCACCAAACCUAAAUCGAGGUUUUUUAACUGCUUUGAUGGCUGAUUUCAUCUUGAGAACAUCCCCUAGUUUCUCGGUGACAAUCCAUUCGUUGACUCUUCCUGCCUCUAACAAUCCAAUGAACGUAGCCUUUGUUCGAUGUAGUGACAUGACAUUCUCGAAAAGGAUCCAAAAUAUUAUCAGAUGUAACGACCGUGGAGUUCCAACUGCGUUGAGUAUUGUAAUAAUGGAAGGAAUGUAAACGGCUCCCCAUUUCGGAACCUCAACCUCAGGUACUAAUACAGUUGCAGGUAGUACGACACAGUAGAACACAAAUGUCACAAUGUGAGCUACAACUUUCCUUACAAAGAAGAAGCUGUAAAUCACAUGAAUCUUCUUCCACAACGAUACUUUCUUGUUUCUUAUGAUCUCCAUAAACAUU
rnacentral:misc_RNA from 1 species